UACGAAGGGGGCUAGCGUUGUUCGGAAUUACUGGGCGUAAAGCGUGCGCAGGCGGUUCGUUAUGUCCGAUGUGAAAGCCCCGAGCUUAACUUGGGAAUGGCAUUGGAAACUGGCGGGCUGGAGUGCGGCAGAGGGGGGUGGAAUUCCACGUGUAGCAGUGAAAUGCGUAGAGAUGUGGAGGAACACCGAUGGCGAAGGCAGCCCCCUGGGCCGACACUGACGCUCAGGCACGAAAGCGUGGGGAGCAAACAGG
rnacentral:rRNA from 1 species